GAUGAACUCUGGCUGCGUGCCUAAUACAUGCAAGUCUAGCGACGCGGGGACGGGUGCGUCCCCCGUGGUUAACCUCCUAUAAGACUGGGAUAACUUCGGGAAACCGGAGCUAAACCGUAUCCUUCUAGAUGGAUCCUCGCUGCAUUAACUAGUUGGUAAGGUAACGGCUUACCAAGGCAACGAUGCAUAGCCGACCUGAGAGGGGGAUCGGCCACACUGGAAAUGAGACACGGUCCAGACUCAUACGGGAGGCAGCAGUAGGGAGUGUUCCGCAAAGGGCGAAAGGCUGACGGAGCAACGGCGCGUGAGUGAUGAAGGUAUUCGGUUAGGAAAACUAUGUUAAUAGGGAAGUGGGACCUAAGCAGAAAGCCUCGGCUAACUCCGUGCAAGCAGCCGCGGUAAUUC
rnacentral:rRNA from 1 species